GAUGAACGCUAGCUACAGGCUUAACACAUGCAAGUCGAGGGGAAACGGCAUCGAAAGCUUGCUUUUGAUGGGCGUCGACCGGCGCACGGGUGAGUAACGCGUAUCCAACCUGCCCAUCACUUGGAAAUAACCUUGCGAAAGUAAGACUAAUGCCCAAUGACAUCCCACGAAGGCAUCCGAAUGGGAUUAAAGAUUUAUCGGUGAUGGAUGGGGAUGCGUCUGAUUAGCUUGUUGGCGGGGUGACGGCCCACCAAGGCAACGAUCAGUAGGGGUUCUGAGAGGAAGGUCCCCCACAUUGGAACUGAGACACGGUCCAAACUCCUACGGGAGGCAGCAGUGAGGAAUAUUGGUCAAUGGGCGAGAGCCUGAACCAGCCAAGUAGCGUGCAGGAUGACGGCCCUAUGGGUUGUAAACUGCUUUUAUAAGGGAAUAAAGUGGGUCACGUGUGACUUUUUGCAUGUACCUUAUGAAUAAGGACCGGCUAAUUCCGUG
rnacentral:rRNA from 1 species